ensembl:lncRNA
AUCUGAUUAAUACAACAGUGUGCUGUUACACCACGGCCUAGGCAACCGGCGUGCAACACAGAAAAAAUAAAAAUAAGGGGAAAAAAAAAAACAACAAAAAAAACUACUACGGGUCUCCACAAAAAAAAAUCCCAAAACGAAAGGAUCGACAACUAUUUACAUCAAAGCAAAUUAAGACAUUUAUUUACAUCAAAACACCAAACUAUUUACAACCGGGGGGAAGAUCGCAAACCUGACAAACUGAAACACAGGGCUUAAAUACAUAGAGGGAGCAAUCAGGGAAUGGACAACAGGAGGGAAACACAGCUGGGGCAAAUCAGAACUGACGAGACAAGGAAGCGUAAACUGAACACACUGAGAUAAGACAGACUUUCAAAGUAAAGCAGGAAACACAACCGUCACGCCUAAAACAAAACACUGACAACACCGAAUCGUAACAGCUCCCCCCACCCAAAAAUCAAACAUUUAAAACAUGUAACCCCAAAGAAAAUGUUUGAUUCAUGACCAGCGCAUACGGCACCGGCUGCUGUUCUGCAGGCGACGCUGAUGGCUGGACGGGCCCCUUGGAUCCUCCAGUGGAAACGGAAGGCUGGAGCGGUCCCUCGGACCCUCCAGCGAAGGCGGACGAAGGCUGGAGCGGUCCCUCGGACCCUCCAGCGAAGACAGACGGAGGCUGGAGCGGUCCUCGGACCCUCCAGCGAAGACAGACGGACGGCUGAAGCGGUCCUCGGACCCUCCAGCGAAGACAGACGAAGGCUCGAGCGGUCCCUCGGACCUC